rnacentral:misc_RNA from 1 species
GCACCAAUGCCUGCCUUUGCACCUGAAGACAUUCCGCCACUGUCUACUGGGGAGCCGCUGCUCUGUGAGGCUGGACUAGACGACUUGUUUGAACCCCCAGUCGUUACCGGGCGAACUGGAUCGGCUGCCAUUGCUGGGGCUGGCACCGAUGGAGUGCUACCAGAGCCUGGCGUUGUCGUCCCUGGAGGUGAGGGGCUAGAGGGAGUGGGGAUCAAAGGAUCUGCGGAUGUCGGUGAGGGACUGCUCGUAGAGGGUUUGACAGGAAUUCCAGAAGGUGGUGGUGCCAGGGGUGGAGGUUCUGUCUGAGGCGUUCUUGGUGGCCGGCGCCGUGGUGGAGGUGGCUGCGCUAAUGUCGGCGGCGUUGGGUCAGCCGGCGGGUUGGGCGUUGGCAGAAUGGUUGGGGGUGGCGACGCGGCCGCAGGGGGCCUUAUAUGUAUAGGCGACGCCUUUGGCGGGGCAGCAGGUGUAGGUGGUGGGGGCACUGCAACCGGCGCCGGCGGCGAGGGUGGGGGCACUACGGCUGCUGGGGCG